GAUGAAGAACGUAGCGAAAUGCGAUAAGUAAUGUGAAUUGCAGAAUUCAGUGAAUCAUCGAAUCUUUGAACGCACCUUGCACCCUUUGGCUAUUCCGAAGGGUAUGCCUGUUUGAGUAUCAUGAACACCUCAACUCUUAUGGUUUGCCAUGAUGAGCUUGGACUUUGGGGGUCUUGCUGGCCUGUGGUCAGCUCCUCUCAAAUGGAUUAGCUUGCCAGUGUUUGGUGGCAUCACAGGUGUGAUAACUAUCUACGCUUGUGGUUUUCCACCAGGUAACCUUCAGCAAUGGGGGUUCGCUGGGGCUCAUAAAUGUCUCUCCUCAGUGAGGACAGCUCUUUGAACGUUUGAUCUCAAAUCAGGUAGGACUACCCGCUGAACUUAAGCAUAUCAAUAAGCGGAGGA
rnacentral:misc_RNA from 1 species